ACAAAACAAAACUGCCUGAGUUGGUAGCCCUGGUGAUACCCUUGACAACCACUGGAACACUGGGCACCCUUGGUGAUGUUGUUACCGUGGUAGCCACAAAAGCUCUGACGCGAUAAGAUCCAUUGUGACCCAGGCCCUGAUGAGCACUGAUCCUUUCAUUUCUACAUUCCAGUGAGGCAGAAACUGCUGCAGCAGAACGGGAAAUAUAUGACUGGUUCCAACCAUGCAGGUUAUCAACCAUGGUUGUAAAAGAAAAGAUUAAAAAGACCUAUGGCCCACAUGUUGGGAUGAGCACGGCAUAUGCCAGUGAACCAGACUUUACCAGUGAAGAUAAGGGUACACAAACCAACUUUGAUAGCCCAAAAAAUGUUGUGACCCAGGAAAAGGCAACAAAUCCACAUACAGCCCAGAUGUUUGUGCCGAGCAAGAAAAAAUACUGUGUGCUGAAAACAGAAACGCAAAUGCGAGAGAAAGUCUGUGCUGCCAAGCCAGUGUCAGAGCCUGGGGACUUUCUCGUGAAGGAAAAA